rnacentral:lncRNA from 1 species
GCAGCAACAGCUGGACUGCUUCCAAGUGGAAGCGCUCACAGAACAACCACGCGGCAGGCACUGGCUACACGGACUUAGAAGCUGAUAACUGGUCAGAGUCAAGCUGAGCCUAUCGACCCCUUUCCAUGUCCACAGAGAUAAACACGAGCAAACCUAAGAUAAAACCCCACCAAGUGCACUUCCCUGGGACUAUUUCGAGAGCUUCCGACCUCUGGGAACACAUAUGUGAACCAGCAGGAUGGCCACAUCACCCACAGGGCAGUAAAGGUGGAUGCCAAACGCAGAGAAACUGAGUCAUAAAUGCCUGUAACUCUUCCUGUGGGUGUGAGGAUCCUAUCUCUCAACCCAGCUUGAAUGGGAUUUGUUUCUGCAACUGGAAUAAUCUUAAAUUAUCCAUUCUGACACCAGAAAGUCAGCACUUUCAGUUUCAAAGUUCAUCAUGAUGGUGGGAAACAUGGCAGC